rnacentral:rRNA from 1 species
CGACCUCAGUUCAGGUGAGACUACCCCCUGGAUUAAAGCAUUUUAAUAAGGGGAGGAAAAGAAACUAACAAGGAUUCCCUUAGUACCCGCGAGGGAACUGGGAAGAGCCCAGCGCUGAAUCCUCCGGGACCUGCCUCCCGGUUGGAAAUGUAGCGUAUAGAAGGAUUCGUUAACGGGAGGUGACCGGAACGCUCAAGUCCUGACUUGAACGANGGCCACANGAGGGUGACAUCCCCUUGGGGCGGCUGGAGCCUUCCAAUGGUUUCUUCUGAGAGUAGGAUCCAUUGAAACGCAAACUGAAGCAGUUGCUAGAUUCCAUCUAAGGCUAAAAUAUGACCACGAGACGGAUAGCGCACACGUACCGCAAGGGAAAGGUGAAAAGAACUUUGAAGAGAGAGUUCAAGAGUACGUGAAACUGAGUUGAUUGAAAUUGGACGAGACCGAAAAGUCCGGACGGGUAGACUCAGGUGCGCCGCACCGGAGCCCGCGUGGGGAAGUUGGUCGAGAAGCGUUUCGUUCUGCGGCUCGCGCUCGACCUCGGGACCGCGUGCGUUUGCGCCCGGAGCGGAGUUCUGAACUUCUAUCCUAGUAGGAGGUCGCGACCCGUUGAGUUAUUUGGUCGGCUUGUGGGCCCUUGGUUGNNAGCACGCUUGUUUCGAAAGAGACCUGCGAACCCCGGGUGUCNUAGUCAGCCCUCGACGGUAUCAUAAAAACUAGGUGAAGGGACCGCGCCUUUAGUAGGGUGCGCCUCGCUUCGGCGGGACAGGUCCUCGAACCGGUCGGCGGCUUUAUUGUUUUUGGUACUCGCCCGCCCCGUCUUGAAACACGGACCAAGGAGUCU